rnacentral:rRNA from 1 species
CAGUCGCCACGGUAAUACGGAGGGUGCAAGCGUUAAUCGGAAUUACUGGGCGUAAAGCGUGCGCAGGCGGUUUGUUAAGACAGAUGUGAAAUCCCCGGGCUCAACCUGGGAACUGCAUUUGUGACUGGCAAGCUAGAGUGUGGCAGAGGGGGGUGGAAUUCCGCGUGUAGCAGUGAAAUGCGUAGAUAUGCGGAGGAACACCGAUGGCGAAGGCAGCCCCCUGGGCCAACACUGACGCUCAUGCACGAAAGCGUGGGGAGCAAACAGGAUUAGAUACCCCCGUAGUCCCUGUCUCUUAUAC